ACGUUAUUCGUUUAGGAGUAGCACAUUUGAUGGUUUAGUUUAGAGACCGAAUUUUACUCAGAUAGUUGCCAUUUAUACUCAACUGGUUUUGUGGAAUAGUAAUUCACAUCAGAAUUCAAAGUUUUUAUUGCUCUGACUGAAGGCUAAUUAAGUAAUGUCCUGUUACUGUUUGCAGAAAGUUCAUUACCCCACUCCUAGACAUUUCCACUACUAAAUCCUAUUUCUUUUAUUUUCUGUGGAAUCUCAUAUUGGUUGGGAAAGCUCAAUUGAAAUGGGUUUAUAAG
rnacentral:misc_RNA from 1 species